rnacentral:ncRNA from 1 species
GUAGAACAAACCUAGGCACCUACGAAUAUGUGCCAGAGAAGCCUGCUUAUUAUUACAUUUCAGACAAAUUGGGUGGGUUUUUUUACCACUCUGGAAUAAAAGGCUUUUUAAAUGGCCACUACGAAAUCAUCAAAGACAAGCACUUUUAUUAAAUAAAAAACAUUCGGACCUCAUGCUUGUAUUAUAUAGUGACUGUGUAUAACUUUUGGCUGAUCGCAAGGGCCUCAUCCCGGUGAUGUAUCUUUCAAGUGUUUGCUUUAUCAACUACCAGUCUUUCAACAUGCCUGCCAUGGUUGUAAUGGAUGACGUAGAAUCAAGAUUUGAUUCUGCAAAGGAAGCCCAAGAAGCGACUACCACAUUCAAGUAAGAUAGCAGGAGCAUAAAUUAAUUACUCCCACAAUGGAGAGGUUGCAAC